UGGAGAAGCUGGAGGGCGCAGCUGGGUGGGGUAGCCUUGGGGUGUGGACAACUGCCUACCAGGAUGAAAGGCCUUGAGCUGUGGGACGAAGUGGAACUGGAAGCUUGCCCCUUGACACUUUUUUCAAGGGGGAAGUGCUCUCUGCAGCGUCUGUCGCCACCCUCUCUGUCACCUGAUUGGGCAGGGAGGGGAGUCCUUGUCUAUUCUCAGCUUUGGGUCCAGAGCUCAAAGGAGCACCUGUCUUGGGGGACUCGAAAAGUUGGGCUUUUUCUCCUGCCGCGGCUUGGGCCAUUAAACAAGUGAGAUUCGGUCCAUGUGAUUUGGCGUCGUUGCAAGGGCCUUGACUUUUGUGUGACCUCCCCGAAUUCGAGUUUUCUCAGGUUGAUCAGUUGGGUCCAUUGGGGAAAUUUCUGAGGUGGAAAUUAAAUAGAAAAAGAGAGCAUCGGCAUGAAUUGAACAUCUUUCAGACCAGGAGUAGUCGUUAAGGAAGAGAGACCUUCGCCGAGGCCCUACCAGGCCCUGGAAGCCCUGUGCUGAGCUCUUGCUAUAAGGAGGGCCACUGACCACAAAACAAAAGUAGUCAACCAGGAGCUGCGGGAAUGGAACUGUUAGGUUUCCACCUGGUUGGUGGGAUUGGAGAACAUUUCUCGUGGAAGAGGUGGCAUUUGUACCAGGCCCUGCAAAGGGAGAAGAGGUAUGAGGAUCAAAUAUAUAGGAGCUAAAUCUGAUGGUAAAGAUUAGAGAUCUCAAGGUUUGUACCGGUAAAAAAAAAAGUCCAUAGAGACUGUUAACCUGGGAUUGUUGGCCUGCGUGGACCAUGGACAGACUUCAGAAGUUUGUCUGGGCAAAAUUUAAAAGCCAGGAAAUACCAAGUAUUGGCCAAGAUGAAGAGCAGCAGAAGCUCUCAGGCUUUGCUGGUUGGAACGUCACUUGAUGCAACUUUUUGGAAAGCAGGUCUACCAAAAUUAGACUCCCGGCUGCCUGGACAUUGAGUUGGAAAAUUCAGGACACAAGAAAUGGGAACAAAUGUGCCCUAUCAAAUGCAGUGCCCAGACGUUUAUGAACUGUUCUCCAUAUGCACAGCUGUGAGCAGUCUGCCUCAAGAGGAAAUUGCCUUCCAUCAUCCAAAGGGACCUGGACCCCAGAACUGAUGUUAUUUCCCUGCUGAAUGGCAGCGGACCAUGACAGAGGGAGGGCUCCCCGUGACCUUAGAGCAGAGUCUGAGCACCCCAUCCAGCAGACAGAGAAGGUGUUAUCCUACUAUGAACAGACUCUUCUGGUUCAGUCUUAUGGGGGAAACUUGAUAUCUUCGGUAAAUGCUAACCCAGUGAGCCCUCUCCACGUCCCCAUGCCAUCCUCCCAUGGAGCUUCUAGUUGGACAUGAAGAUAAUAAAGCCCACCCUGACCUCUUACAUAGAAUUACAUAAAAGUGUAUGGACAUUAUAGGUAGGGAGGGGUUUCUACCUGCCCAAGAAUUUAAUCCACCCAAAUCCUACAGAAAAAAAAAAUAGUUAAAGAUUUGGUAGCAUUGUAGUAACUAUUGUAGAAUAGCUGGUGCUCUCAUGGGCCUUCUUAUGUGCCUGGGGAACAGCCUGAAAACGGGAACAAAGAGGAACUAACUCCACAUAUUGCAAGAGCACCCACUGAUCUUCGGAAAGUAAAGCUGUAGAGACUGUGUUGCAGCUAGAAAAAACCUUUAUCAGUAAGGAGUUGGGUAAUUUCACCUGGAAAUGUACAUAUGGUGUGCAUGGUAUGUUACAUUUCACCUGGCAGGGAGACCUUGGAAGGAAGCAAAUUUAGAGUGCCGAGAACCCCUUUGGAGGGUUCUAGGGAAGCAGGUGCAUAUGCAAGGGCACAUACAAAUGUGGCAUUCUUCUGGGUUAAGUAAACCAGACUGUGGGAAAUGUACUGCCAGGAGAUGAGUGUGCCCACAGACCAUCAAUAUAAUUGUCCUUAGAGGGCCAUAGUUCACAAUUGUCCAUACCAAAAGCCAUGCCUAAUUCACUCAGAGCAUGGUACUCCUUCCAUACUGUAGGGAUGAAACCUCUCCCUACCUAUAAUGUCCAGACCGUGAGGGUCACUGCCCUGGAAAAAAAAGGAAGAGGGAAUAAAAGUAACAGUUGUGUUUUCCAACCUGCAGGCAUUUGGACAGGAGAAACAGAAGAGGGAAAGGAAGGAAGGCAGGCAGGCUCCAGGGUUCUCAUUUUCCCCUAGCCACCCUCCCCAGUCCAUCCAGAUCUUGACUGGGGGAAACUAUGGAAGACAGAUACGGAGACUGUGGAGAAGCCAAGAACAUCACAGGCUUGUAGACCACUUCCCCAGGUAUGACAUGAGGGAGGCUUCAGGCUGCUAGGGGAAGCCUUGCGCCUGGCUUUGCAUCAUGAACAAAAUACUGUAGGAACAAUAAUGUAGCAAUGAUGGAGGGCAGAAUCUAAGCCAGUGAAAACCAGGAUACCCUACCCAGUUCCUAUACUUGUUCUACAGGAGAUCAAAAGCUUCCCUGUGUCCCACAAAGGCAUGAGGAAGUGUUGUAGAGGCUUGCACUGAGAGUUGGAAUGAAAAGCCUGCAGGGGUAGGACUUUGUGGCAGAAGGCAAAUGUUGGGACCAUGGACUUCAGCUCUGGGUGCUGGCAUUACACUCCAAAGACCAGAUUAGGCCCAGUGCAUCUCAGCAGGUAAUUAUAGGAGCUCAGGAACCAGACCCAGUCUUUCAUGGCAGAACCAGAAAGACAGUACAAGGACCUGCUCACAGGGAUCCAAGGCAACUCUUCUAUCACAUAGUCAUAUUUGUGCCUUGCCUUUCCCAUACUCCCAGAUAACCAUCUUGAAAAGAUGAAGGGGAAGAGGAAAGAGAAGCAGCAUUUACUUAAGAGAGACCAAGUUACCCCCAAAGACAAUGUUUGAACCAAACUCAUCCCAUCCAUUAUUUACUGGUAAAUCCAAAUCUCCCCUUCACACCCAGCAGGACGGGCUUAUGCGAAAGAUUAGAUUAUAGAAAACAAAGUAGCUCCAUUGUCUUUGCACCUCCAGCUUAUAGGGUGAGUAAACAUGCAUCCCUGCUUUAACUUUUCUUGUGCUUUAGACUACAGGGCAGUCAUAUUAAGUGUCCAGUUACAAUUAGCCCUUCAGUCAAGCCUCACCCUCACUGCUAGCAGUGCAGCAGGAAAUGGGGGCCUUUGUAACAAGAGCAGCAGUGAUCCAAGGCAGACCAUGGGUGCAGUGGUCAACAGCAAAAUGGGCAGAGCCCACAGUAGAGCAAGGAGGAGACCAGCAGUGGACAUCAUAGGACUGUGGUUGGAUGAACACUGCAGGGGUUUGCAACAAACCCAUUUUCUCAGGACCUCCUGGUUGCUACACACUGCAUUAGGCUGCUGGCAUUCCUGCUGCAACAAUAGGCAAAAUAACAAUUUGUUUCUUUCUGCCCUAAAAGGCUGAGUGUAAGCAGUCCUGUGCUGAUAGUUCGCCAUAGUAUCAGGUCCCAGGCCCUUCGCAUCUUGUAUUUACCAUCCUGCAGCUUUUAGCUCCCAUCACACAUUCCUGCAGCAUGAAGAAGAGGGAAAGUAGAGGGCACACACCUCUCUGUUAAGGUCAUGAACUGAAAGUGGCACAUAAAACUUUCUCUUCCAUCCUAAUGCCCAAAACUUAGUCAUAUGGCUACACUUAGGGUCUCAGCUGUGGCCACAAAAAUGCUGUGUAACAAACAACCACAAAAUAUCAGUAGCAGCCAACAAUAAGCAUUAAUUUCACAUUCACAUGUCUACAGAUGAACUGGUGUUUGGCUAGUCUAUGUUGGAUUCAGCUGGACAUGGCUCGCUGCGGCUUGGGUUCAGAUCUCAUCCUCUGGGAUGUAUCUCUCAUCCUCUAGCCACCACCAAGCUCCCCAGGCCAUGAGCUCAUCACGGUAAUGACCUUCAUGGUAAUAGCAGCAUAUGUAUGCCUUGGUAAGUCAUGUACAUAGGUUAGAAGCUAUGUGGAGAAGGUUGCCUGAGAGCAAGAUUGGUGACCUGGCAGAGGUACGAACCCUUUUACUUCUGCACUUACCUGUCCAGAAUCAGAAUGGCAAGAUGAAGGUCUGAGCCCACCAAUUUCACAAGCACAUUUAAAGCCUUUGCUUGGAUCAUGUCUGCUACCAUCCCAUUGGCCCACACAAGUCACAUACCCAAGCUCAACAUCAGUGGGUCAGGAAGUAUACUCUCACGAAGAGAGGAGGGAAGUAAUAAAUGUCUUAUAAAUGUCUAUGGUCUUUAGCAGGGUGGCCAUAUUAACUCCAGUUAAAACUCUGGAGUUCUAUCCUCAAAGAAAGAAAAGGAAGCUAGAUUUUGAGGAUACCCUGUGCUACAGCGUGUAUCAGUCAGGAGGCAGUUUCUUCUAAUAGUUUAAUGGAACCAUGGAUGUGUUCCCUGGUGGAAGUAUCCUCUUUGGCACUAGAACUUACAAACCCACCAAGCCCAAGUUUGCAGAGAUGAGAAGCACAAAAAUUUCUUUGUAAUUCAUCAGGUGUAACAGUGAGGAGGGUCAUCCCCCUCUUUACCCCUGUUUCCCAAAGCCAUGCAUUCUGGCUAUGGCACCAUAGACUGGCUGCUGAUUUUCAAGGCUUAUAAACUGAGACUUAAACAGGCCCACCCACUGUUCUACCAAACUAGCUCUUUCUGGGUGAUAGGACAUAUGGUGAGACCAGGAAUUCUAAGAGAGUGAGGCCACUGUCCCACUUGGUUUGCCAUAAAUGUGUCCCUUUGAUGGAAGCAGCAUCGUGUGAGAUCAGUGUGGCAUGAGAUAAAUGUGGCAUUUUGCAAGUCCAUAAACUGGUGAUGCUGGCAGAGAUGCUGCAGGCAGGAGAGGCAAAUCCAUACCCAUGCUAUGUGUGUCUAUUCCUAUAAAGACAAAGAACUUUCCCCAGCAUGUUGAAAGGGGUUCAGUAACUGGGUGUCUGGCUGGCCCCUGUGGAAGUGGUACCAUUUCUGGGCGCAACACAGCUUCUGAAUAAACAAGCUGGGCACUCAGCAGCAGUACUCAGGGAAAGUGUAGCACUAAAUGUCUUAUGUUACAGAAGAACAGUCAAAAAUCAAUGACCUCAGCCUCCAUCUUAAUAAAUUGGAAAAAAAAAAAAAGUAAUUUGAACUCAAACAGAAGAAAAGAAAUAAUGACCAGAGUGAAAUUCAGUGAAAUACUAAACAAAAAAUAGAGAAAAAUCAAUGAAACCAAAAACUGAUUCUUUGAGAAAAAAAAAAUCUCUUCAGUUGUUAAACCGGUAGUCGGAUGAUCAAGAAAAAGUACAGAAAACACAAAUUACCAAUAUCAGGAAUGACUGAGUUGACAUCAUCACAGUUUUUACAGAUAUUGAAAGGAUAAUUUAGAAAUAUCAUGAACAACUUUUUUUAAAAUAUUUUUUAUUUAUUUGAGAGACAGAGCAAGCACGAGUGGUAGGAAAGGGCAGAGGGAGAGGGAGAAGCAGACCUCCGCCGAGCAGGGAGCCCCAUGCGAGGCUUGAUCCCAGGACCCUGAGAUCAUGACCUGAGCUGAAGGCAGACACUUAGCCACCCAGCACCCCUCAUGAACAACUUAAUGCCAAUAAAUUUAACAACCUAAUGAAAUGGAUGCAUUUUUAAUGCUUUUUUUUUUUUUUAAGAUUUUAUUUAUUUAUUUGAGAGAGAGAGAGAAUGAGAGACAGAGAGCAUGAGAGGGAGGAGGGUCAGAGGGAGAAGCAGAGUCCCUGCCGAGCAGGGAGCCCGAUGCGGGACUCGACCCUGUGACUCCAGGAUCAUGACCUGAGCCAAAGGCAGUCGCUUAACCAACUGAGCCACCCAGGCGCCCCUUUAAUGCUUUUUUUUUAAAAAAGAUUUUAUUUAUUUGAGAGUUCAUGAGUGGGGGGAGGGAGAGGGAGAAGCAGACUCCCCUGCUGAGCAGGGAGCAUGUCCUGGGAUCAUGACCUGAGCUGAAGGCAGAUGCUUAACCAGCUGAGCCACCCAAGUGCCCCGAAAUGGAUGCAUUUCUUGAAAGACACAAUACUGGCAGUGGCCAGAUCAGCUUGAUGAGGGCAAGUCUAUGUUGUUGAGCCCAUCACUGUCUCCUUUCCUGUCACCAUGGCCACUUUGUAAAUGGGUCUAUUGAGCAAGCACCAGGGUAUCUGAGGAAGAGGCCAUCCAAUGUCCACGGGUUGGGUCAUCUUGUCCUCCUGAUUACUGAGAGUCUCAUCUACAACAGAGGCCCUUGGAUGAGCAUUUAUGUGGAACAUGCAUAUCUAUACUGUGUGGAUGGCAAGAAGUCCAUCUUUCCCUUGACCACCUUGUCCCUGGUCUUCUGAUCUUGCUCUCUGUAAAUUCCUGACCAGCUGGCCAGCCUGUUAGUUACUCCCCACAAGUCAGGGUCGAUCUGUGCCUUAGCUGACCUGUAGCAGAGCACUGCUCACUAGAGAACAUCCCUUCACUACAGGCUUUUGGAGCCAUUCCAGAGUGGUCUGUGGUGCAACACUCUGGCUGCGUCUGUAAGAGAAGCCCGUGCUUGCUUUUCCUCCACUAACUGACCUUAUUUCUUUGGAGGGCAUUGGUAGAAUGUGGAAGGAGAUAUAGUCAGGCAGCGGCAUUGGAUACCAGGGGAUUCAGGUAGUUCCCUAUGUCUUUGGAUCUGCCCGGUGUAUACCCAUUUCUGUUUUAUAAUGGUAGGCUGACAUGCCUCUCCCAUUUUAUGGCUCACUGGACUUGAUAAUACAGUUUGUGACAGGUACUUCAGGUUGGUGGAAUCUCCUCAUGUCUUUAUCCUCCUCUACCUGUGCUUUAUCCCACGCCACUCCCAGGGAUGAUUUGCUUAUAUGUGAUGACACUGCAUGUUAUGGAUUGCCACGGUCCCAUUUCACCACAGCACAGAGGUUAUCCAUGUCUUCCUCAAAAAUGUGAGCAACUCAAUUCUGGAACCCUUUUUUUUUUUCAACAAUUCUAUAUAUUACGCAGUGCUCACCACAGGAAGUGGAGUUACCAUCUGUCACCCUACAGUGUUAUUACAGUAUUAUUGACUACAUUCCCUAUACUGUACUUUUCAUCUCCAUGACUUAUUUUAUAACUGGACAUUUAUACCUCUUAAUCCUCUUCAUCUAUUUCACCCAUCCCCCUACCACCUCCCUUUGGCAACCACCAAUUUGUCCUCUGCAUUUAUGAGUCUGUUUCUGUUUUUUGUUUGUUGUUUGCUUGUUUAUAUGUUUUGUUUUUUAGAUUCCACAUAUAAGUGAAAUUAUAUGGUAUUUGUCUUUGUCUGACUUAUUUCACUUAGCAUAGUACCCUCUAGGUCCAUCCAUGUUGUCACAAAUGGCAAAAUCUCAUUCUUUUCUAUGUCUGAGUAAUAGCCCAUUGUGUGUGUGUAUGGAAUCCUAUUUUAAGACCACUCCUGAUACUAACUAGUGUACCAGUAAGGUCCCAAAAAGAAAUAAAUGGCACACUCAAAAUGGAUACCUCUAGGAGAGUUUGAUAAAGGAACUUUUUGCAGAGUCAUGGUCAGGAAAUAGGGAAACCAAAAGGAAUGUGCAGUAGUCCAGGACUGACAACCUUGGGGAGCAAACAGCCCUAGGCCAUGACGGAGCAGGGAGACAGAGGAUUACUGGAACCAGAGAAGGUAAGUGAAGGAAAACGCUGCCUGAAAGUAGCUAUAGCCUUUGAUAGAAAGGAAGUUGGCCCUCAGCAAACUCACAAGAAAGGAGGCAAGCAAAUAAAUACUCUGACUUCAGUCUCUUCCUACUCUGAUCUCCUGCUGGUACCUCCCAUUGGCCAACCCCAGUAGAAAACCAGAGGGCAAAGGGAGCCUAUUCGGGUAAUCCUUGAAGGUCAAUACCCUGAGGCACAGAGCCUGGGAGAGAACCAGGGGAAGAGAUAUAGAGGAGGAGAUGGAUCUCUAUCUAGCACACAACCCAAACAAGUUUAAACAAACAGGUAAUUUACUGGCUCACAUGUCUGAAAAGUCAAGCUGUAAGCCUUGAAGCAGGGGCUCAAAUGAGGUAAUCAGUAUCUGGUUUUUCCUCCAU